rnacentral:rRNA from 1 species
UUACCAUGCAGUCGAGCGAUGAAGCCCCUUCGGGAGUGGAUUAGCGGCGGACGGGUGAGUAACACGUGGGUAACCUGCCUCAAAGAGGGGGAUAGCCUCCCGAAAGGGAGAUUAAUACCGCAUAACAAGUAACUUCCGCAUGGAAGUAACUUUAAAGGAGAAAUCCGCUUUGAGAUGGACCCGCGGCGCAUUAGCUAGUUGGUAGGGUAACGGCCUACCAAGGCAACGAUGCGUAGCCGACCUGAGAGGGUGAUCGGCCACAUUGGAACUGAGAGACGGUCCAGACUCCUACGGGAGGCAGCAGUGGGGAAUAUUGCACAAUGGGCGAAAGCCUGAUGCAGCAACGCCGCGUGAGUGAAGAAGGUUUUCGGAUUGUAAAGCUCUGUCUUUGGGGACGAUAAUGACGGUACCCAAGGAGGAAGCCACGGCUAACUACGUGCCAGCAGCCGCGGUAAUACGUAGGUGGCAAGCGUUGUCCGGAAUUACUGGGCGUAAAGAGUGCGUAGGCGGAUAUUUAAGUGAGAUGUGAAAUACCCGGGCUUAACCCGGGCACUGCAUUUCAAACUGGAUAUCUAGAGUGCAGGAGAGGAGAACGGAAUUCCUAGUGUAGCGGUGAAAUGCGUAGAUAUUAGGAAGAACACCAGUGGCGAAGGCGGUUCUCUGGACUGUAACUGACGCUGAGGCACGAAAGCGUGGGUAGCAAACAGGAUUAGAUACCCUGGUAGUCCACGCCGUAAAC